rnacentral:rRNA from 1 species
AUUGAACGCUGGCGGCAGGCCUAACACAUGCAAGUCGAGCGGAUGAAGGGAGCUUGCUCCUGGAUUCAGCGGCGGACGGGUGAGUAAUGCCUAGGAAUCUGCCUGGUAGUGGGGGAUAACGUCCGGAAACGGGCGCUAAUACCGCAUACGUCGUGAGGGAGAAAGUGGGGGAUCUUCGGACCUCACGCUAUCAGAUGAGCCUAGGUCGGAUUAGCUAGUUGGUGGGGUAAAGGCCUACCAAGGCGACGAUCCGUAACUGGUCUGAGAGGAUGAUCAGUCAACCGGGAACUGAGACUCGGUCCCGACUCCUACGGUAGGCAGCAGUCGGGAAUCUUGGACGAUGGGCGAAAGCCUGAUCCUGCCCUGCCGCGUGUGUGAAGAAGGUCUUCGGAUUGUAAAGCACUUUAAGUUGGGAGGAAGUGCAGUAAGUUAACCCCUUGCUGUUUUGACGUUACCAACAGAAUAAGCCCCGGCUAACUUCGUG